rnacentral:rRNA from 1 species
UACGUAGGGUGCGAGCGUUAAUCGGAAUUACUGGGCGUAAAGCGUGCGCAGGCGGUUCGUUAAGUCAGAUGUGAAAGCCCCGGGCUCAACCUGGGAACUGCAUUUGAAACUGGCAGGCUAGAGUUCGGUAGGGGAGACUGGAAUUCCUGGUGUAGCGGUGAAAUGCGUAGAGAUGUGGAGGAACACCAGUGGCGAAGGCGACUCUCUGGUCUGUAACUGACGCUGAGGCGCGAAAGCGUGGGGAGCAAACAGG